GGAGAUUUAGCUCAGCGGUAGAGCGCUUGCCUAGCAAGCGCAAGGCCCUGGGUUUGGUCCCCAGCUCCA
rnacentral:tRNA from 1 species